rnacentral:rRNA from 1 species
UUCCGGUUGAUCCCGCCGGAGGUUACUGCUAUCGAGGUUCGACUAAGCCAUGCGAGUCGAAUGUAGCAAUACAUGGCGAACUGCUCAGUAACACGUGGACAACCUGCCCUUAGGUUGGGUAUAAACCCGGGAAACUGGGUAUAAUACCCGAUAGGUCUCGAUUGCUGGAAUGCAUCGAGAUUUAAAGCUCCGGCGCCUAAGGAUGGGUCUGCGGCCUAUCAGGUAGUAGUGGGUGUAGCGUACCUACUAGCCUACGACGGGUACGGGUUGUGAGAGCAAGAGCCCGGAGAUGGAUUCUGAGACACGAAUCCAGGCCCUACGGGGUGCAGCAGGCGCGAAAACUUUACAAUGCUGGCAACAGCGAUAAGGGAACCUCGAGUGCCAGGUUACAAAUCUGGCUGUCGAGAUGCCAAAAAGCAUUUCAUAGCAAGGGCCGGGCAAGACCGGUGCCAGCCGCCGCGGUAACACCGGCGGCUCGAGUGGUAACCGUUAUUAUUGGGUCUAAAGGGUCUGUAGCCGGCCGGAUAAGUCUCUUGAGAAAUCUGGCAGCUUAACUGUCAGGCUUUCAGGAGAUACUGUCUGACUCGAGGCCGGGAGAAGUGAGAGGUACUUCAGGGGUAGGGGUGAAAUCUUGUAAUCCUUGAAGGACCUCCAGUGGCGAAGGCGUCUCACCAGAACGGACCUGACGGCAAGGGACGAAAGCUAGGGGCACGAACCGGAUUAGAUACCCGGGUAGUCCUAGCCGCAAACGAUACUCGCUAGGUGUCGGCCACGGUGCGACCGUUGUCGGUGCCGUAGGGAAGCCGUGAGGCGAGCCACCUGGGAAGUACGGCCGCAAGGCUGAAACUUAAAGGAAUUGGCGGGGGAGCACCACAACGGGUGGAGCUUGCGGUUUAAUUGGAUUCAACGCCGGA